rnacentral:rRNA from 1 species
UACAGAGGGGGCGAGCGUUGUUCGGAAUUACUGGGCGUAAAGGGCGCGUAGGCGGCCAACUAAGUCAGACGUGAAAUCCCUCGGCUCAACCGGGGAACUGCGUCUGAUACUGGAUGGCUUGAAUUCGGGAGAGGGAUGCGGAAUUCCAGGUGUAGCGGUGAAAUGCGUAGAUAUCUGGAGGAACACCGGUGGCGAAGGCGGCAUCCUGGACCGAGAUUGACGCUGAUGCGCGAAAGCCAGAGGAGCAAACGGG